AAGUCCCGCAACGAGCGCAACCCUUGCCAUUUAGUUGCUACGAAAGGGCACUCUAAUGGGACUGCCGGUGACAAACCGAGGAAGGUGGGGAUGACGUCAAGUCCUCAUGGCCCUUAUAGGUGGGGCUACACACGUCAUACAAUGGCCGGUACAGAGGGUAGCCAACCCGCGAGGGGGAGCCAAUCCCACAAAGCCGGUCGUAGUCCGGAUCGCAGUCUGCAACUCGACUGCGUGAAGUCGGAAUCGCUAGUAAUCGCGGAUCAGCAUGUCGCGGUGAAUACGUUCCCGGGUCUU
rnacentral:rRNA from 1 species